rnacentral:rRNA from 1 species
AGAGUUUGAUCCUGGCUCAGAACAAACGCUGGCGGCGUGCCUAAUACAUGCAAGUCGAGCGAGGAACUGCCUUCGGGUAGUUUCGAGCGGCGCACGGGUGAGUAACACGUGGAUAAUCUUCCUCAAGGUGGGGAAUAACCAGUCGAAAGACUGGCUAAUACCGCAUAAGACCACACGGGCUUCGGUUCGAGGGGUUAAAGGAGCAAUUCGCCUUGAGAUGAGUUUGCGUCUGAUUAGCUAGUUGGUGAGGUAAUGGCUCACCAAGGCGACGAUCAGUAGCUGGUCUGAGAGGACGGCCAGCCACACUGGGACUGAGACACGGCCCAGACUCCUACGGGAGGCAGCAGUAGGGAAUAUUGCACAAUGGAGGAAACUCUGAUGCAGCGACGCCGCGUGAGUGACGAAGGCCUUCGGGUUGUAAAGCUCUGUUCUCAGGGAAAAAGAAAGUGAUUGUACCUGAGAAGAAAGGACCGGCUAACUUCGUGCCAGCAGCCGCGGUAAGACGAGGGGUCCAAGCGUUGUUCGGAAUUAUUGGGCGUAAAGCGGGUGUAGGUGGCUCUCUAAGUCAGAAGUGAAAGCCCCAGGCUUAACCUGGGAAGUGCUUUUGAUACUGGAGAGCUUGAAUGUGGGAGAGGAUCGUGGAAUUCCAGGUGUAGUGGUGAAAUACGUAGAUAUCUGGAGGAACACCGGUGGCGAAGGCGGCGAUCUGGCCCAACAUUGACACUGAGACCCGAAAGCGUGGGGAUCAAACAGGAUUAGAUACCCUGGUAGUCCAA